GGUCACUGCGGGGUCACUGCGGGGUCACCCUGGGUCCUGUCGGGUCACAGUGGGUUGUAGUGGGUCCUGUUGGGUCCUGUUGGGUCCUGUUGGGUCCUGUUGGGUCCUGUUGGGUCCUACUGAGCACCAGGGGGGUCCUGUUGGGUCCUGUUGGGUCGCAGUGGGUCCUGUUGGGUCCUGUUGGGUCCUACUGAGCACCAGGGGAGUCCUGUUGGGUCCUGUUGGGUUGCAGUGGGUCCUGUUGGGUCCUGUUUGAGCACCAGUGGGUCCUGUUGGGUCCUGUUAGGUCCUGUUUGAGCACCACUAGGUCCUGUUGGGUUCUGUUGGGUCCUGCUGAGUGUUGGGGGGGUCCUGUUGGGUCCUGCUGAAUAGUAGUGGGUCACAGGGGGUCCUGUUGGGUCCUACUGAGAAUCAGGGGAGUCCUGUUGGGUCCUGUUGGGUCACAGUGGGUCCUGUUGGGUCCUACUGAGCACCAAUAGGUCCUGUUAGGUCCUGUUUGAGCUCCAGUAGGUCCUGUUGGGUCCUGUUGGUUCCUGCUGAGUACUGGGGGGGUCCUGUUUGGUCCUGUUGGGUUGCAGUGGGUC